AUGGAUGAAAGCGUCUUGGCUCUGCGGACUAUGGCGGAGCGACGACUUCCGUGCCGGAAUCGUGCGGGUCUACUGCGGCCGGUUGUGCAAUCCUGGUCGGGUUGUGAGGAUGAUGGCGGACUGGAGAGGUUGUUGAGGUUGUUGGAGCGUGACGGCAAGGCUGUUGGUUGCUGGUUGUUGGAUGAAGGCAAGCUAGCGGUACCACGGAGGGAGAACGGCGGUGAGGUGAACUGA